rnacentral:lncRNA from 1 species
ACAAUGUGAAUGUACUUGAUGCCACAUAAAAAGUGGCUAACAUGACCACAUGGAAGGAGAGAAAACACCUGAACAGCUCCAACUGUGGCAGCCAUACCAGCCCAGAUGCCAGACAGUGAAUGAAGACGGGCAUCCCAUUCCCAGUAGAAAUGACGUGAAGAACCGAAAAAAACUCACCGACAGCCCUAGAUAUACACCUCCAGGUGACCAACCCAGACACCACCAACAGUUAGCGCUACUCCAGCUGAAUACUCCCCAACAAAAAUCUAUCCUUGCUAUGUGUUGCCUGAAUUCAUGACCAACAACGGUAUGAACAUAAUAAAAUGAUUGUUAUUUUA